CUGGUCCUCCCAGAUUUGCACAGUCUUUCAAGAGCAAUACAGCAACAUCACAGUGACAUGAGGAAGCUCUUACAGCACUCCCCGACACUUUUUACUCAAGUGUUUAUGUCUGUGUGUUCACAGGACUAAAUGUAUGAAGUUGCUGAAGCCCUGAAGCUCUGCUGGGAAUAGCAUGGACCACAGCGUUGAUCUUCUGAGGAGCUCAAACAGCAAUCUUCCUCCCAGCCCGUGUGCUCCAGAGAGAAGACAGGCAAUUGUGCAGAAGGAGAUGGCACCACGGGGUGAGGAGCAGCCCAGCACCGGGGAAGGGAUGUGCCUGAGGAGUGGAGCUGAGCAGCGGGCAGGAGGAGAUGCCGGGAGCUUUCCAGGGUGCUCAGCUGUCUGCCCAGGAGGAGCGCCACCUCCUCCACGCACUGCAGAGCCUGGAGAAGAGUGGCCAAAAGCCUCUUGGUGGUGGACACGGCCUUGUUUCCUUCAGGAUCUUCAGUGUCUGAAGGGCCAGUGAAGAGAUAGAUGGACUGGGGUCUUGUUGCACUCCGUGAAGGGCUUAGCUAAUAGAGGAACAGAAGGACAAUGACAGCCGUGUACCUGCAGGCCCACUCCAGCCGUUGCCGCCAGUGCUCCUCACUGACAGAAGGGAGCAAGGGACAGGCAUGUCACCUGCUGAUCUGCCAUGACAUCCUACUCCCUGACUCACCCUGGU
rnacentral:lncRNA from 1 species